rnacentral:lncRNA from 1 species
AGACACUAGAGACCUUAGAUCCGUCGUUUACACCAAGGACCCCCCGUUCUUCUUCUUCAAUGAGUAGCUAACCUAAAAAUCCCUAGGGAAGCUAACACAAAAUAGCCGCAAGACCCUGAAGAUCGCGGAUUUUCAUCAAAAAGGACCAUUCCCCCAUCCGUUUACGAUCUUCUUGACAAAAAAAUGAGAAACAGCAAAAAAAUUCAUCUUCCCCUCAAAAACGUAGACAAAAUAAAGAACCCUAGGGACUAAAUCAGCCGAAAAACCAACAAAGAACACACACACAGUCACAUGUUGGAGAUUCACAUUCGCAAACUCUCGGUUCCGCACGUCCUUCACUCACCUUCACUCACUGUCGAAGAGAGUCAAAAUGGAUUCAAAUUGUAUUCUGGAUUUGGAAACAAAUCCCUUAAAAAACUAAAAACAAAGAUAGAAACAAAUGAGGAUUUCCAGAUUUCAUGGGGAUUUUGUUAAUUCAUAUGGUUUUCCAGUAAAGUCCAGUCCGUCAAUUCCAAUUAAGGUUCCGGUCACAGGUUCAUCUGUUCGCUUAAAGAUUUGUUGGGUGCUCUUUCCUUAAUCAGUCUUUCAAAGAGGGUGGUGUAGUAGAGGUGCAUCUCUCACACCUUCAUAUUAUUUCAUCUCAUUUUUCUAGUUUGGUGAAAGAUUUUUAUUGAUUUUGUAUUCUGUUAUGUUGGUGUUUGUAUUUGUUGUCUUAGUUUCCUCAUUUGGUUAAGUGCCUUAAGUCAUGAUAAUGAAUAGAAUGAAUUAAUAAAGACGAUUAUCUUUCGUGCUUUGAAAUCCGUGUGCAAUUUGGUUAAACUAGAUCUGAUGUUAAUGUGUGUAUAUGCUAGAUUGUUUUUUGAGGAAAUUCGUUUAAAUUAAUACACUGAGUCAACCGAGGUUUAAUUUCUUAUAAUCAUUUUGUUUGGUCUACUAAGAUUGGAUGCUUUGCCUCAGUUGAAUGGGUUGUAUUGGUUUAGCAGAACUUUUAAUAAUAUUUGGCCACGAGCUUUGUCGUUAAAUGAAAAAAUGUUGGAGAUUAUUACUUUAUUCUCUUAAUUAGUCAUAAGAGCAUACUUAGGCCACCACACCCGGGUAGGCGAACCUUUAAGCACGUAAUUAAAUCAUCACAACUACGGGUAUGGUUCCCAUGGCGUGGUUGUGAUACUUAAUCUCAAAUUAGUUUUAAAUAUGAACAUCCGUAGUUCACUUAGUUGAAUGCUUUUCCUUUAAUAAAAUUGAGGUGUGCCAUCCAAUCACCUAGUCUAUGGCCCUCACAUCGAUAUCUUAACUAGUGUAGAAAAUAUCUUGAACUCUCGUAGUUUGUUUUAGGCAUGUUUAAUUAAAUAAAUUGUCAUAGCUACGGGUACGGUUCCCGUGAUGUAGUUGUGAUGCUUAAUUUCUAAAUUCGGAGUACAUUUAUGUGACCCGCCCACAAUUUAAUCUUGUUGAUAAAAUAAACUUGUUGUGGAUUUUGGGUACGGUUCCCGUGACAUGAUUCACAAUGUGUAAUCAAAUAAUUAGUGGUAAAACAAUUGGAUUACUAAAAGCGAUUUAAAACGAAUAAAAUGCACAUAGGUCUCAAGAAUGAAUUAAAAUCAAAUAAAUAGGCCUAUAUUAACAGUUGAGCGAUCGUACUAAAACCACGGAACUUGGGAAUGCCUAAAACCUUCUUCCGGGUUAAUAGAAUUUCUUACCCGAAUUUCUGUGUUUCGCGGACUAUAAAACAGAGUCAAACUUCCUCGAUUCGGGAUUUAAACCGGUGACUUGGGACACAUAAAUCAUCCCAAGUGGUGACUCUGAAUUUUAAAUAAAAUAAUCCCGUUUCGAUUAUCACUUAAAUUGGAAAAACUCCCUUAUACCCCUUCCAGGGGUAGAAAAAGGAGGUGUGACAACUGGUGAUUGCACUGAAUAGACAUCACAGCUGCUCCAACUAGUCUAUGUAAUCAUGGACCUUCCCACGCGAUCACGUAUAAGGAAGCUAGAUCAGUGCACCAAAAAAUUCCAGAAAUUCUUUACGUCCAAAAAUUGAUCCAUUAACCAUCCAAAACUCACCCGAGGUCCUCAGGGCCUCAACCGAACAUAACAACAAGUCCUUUAACAUCAUAAAAACUUAGUCGAGCCUUCAAAUCACAUCAAACAAUGCUAAAAUCAUGAAUCGCACAUCGAUUCAAGCCUAAUAAACUUUGAACUUCUAAUUUCUACAUUUUGAUGUUGAAACCUAUCAAAUCACGUACGAUUGACCUCAAAUUUGCACACAAGUCACAAAUGAUACCACAAACCUAUUCCAACUCUCAGAAUCCCAAUCCGAGCCCGAUAACUACAAAGUUCACUCUCUCCAAGAUAAAUCCAUUAAAAAUAAACCCCCUUAAAAACAGGAUGCGAGCUUUAUGAAUGGUCUUUCUGCAAACCACAACCUCCCAUAUGCUCGAGACUUUUAAUUUUAGGAUGUGAGCCUCAUAAAAGCCAGUUGCAAUGCCGAGAGAACUUAUGUAUGUUACAUAUUUUGCUCUCUAUGUAAUGAGUGAUAGAAAAUUAGGAAAAGUGACCUCAAAUUUUCAUCAUGCUAUCUCUACAUAGACAAAAAAAGAGAGGAAAAAACAGAGUCAAAAGAACACGAGUUUACAUAGUUAUUAGUUAGAAUGAUUCAACUCAGUUAUAGAGGAAGAGACUGUGAACUUACCUUAAAAUUUGAGGCUUAAAUCAGACUCUAUAACUUUGAGUAAAACGAUUUUUGGGCAGCUUAUAAAAUUAUACAUAAGGAUGUGAAAAGUUGUAGUAAUAAUUUAGGCACUUAAAUAUUAGGACUUUUUAGUUUUCUAACGGUAAGGAAUAGGAACUAGUGUAGUAAUAAAUAAAUUCUCAUAAUUACAACAACAUUUACUCUUAUUAUGAGAUAAAUAAAAAAAGUAUAUAAACAAGGCAAAAAAAUUUAAAUAAAAUCCUUGGUCAAUGCGAGGUGCCAAGUCACCUUUUCCAUUUCGUCAUAUAUAUAUAUAUAUAAACUUACCCCUUUUAUACUAUAUACCCCUCCUAUAGAGAUUAUUACUUAAUUACAUUAGCAUAUAUAAUUUACUAUUUAUAUACAAUAUAAUAUUAUUUUUUUAGCAACCAUACUACUAGGUUGGAUGCCUAAUGACUAAUAUAUAAAUAAUAAUUCAAAACUAGAAUCCAAUAUUUACAAUUUGUCCAAAGAACAAAGCUAAAGGAUGUAAAGCUAAAGCUGGCUACACUAUGAAACCUAACUAUUACAAGUGAUAAAAUAGACAACUCCCAACAUAUGGUGAUGAGUGUAUCUAUAAGCCAAGUGCAAAACCUCAAUGUAGCACCUCCAAAGCUCUUACUAGGCACCAAGUUUUGCAUUCCAUAGGACAAGGCAAAUGUAAAUCUCCAAGCAACACCAUCAGUUUCUGGGGCUGACCAAGCAUCCAAGUAGCAUGCAUAUGCAAACAUCCAAACUCUGAACAUCAAUAUACAAUAUGAUAAUAGUAUGUCAAUGGAACACAUAGAGAAGUAGCCUUUCUUCUGAAUCAAAGGAUGAAACAUGAACUAUCAGUAGCAACAUGUAUGUAAGCAACAUUCCUGCAUUUUAAACAACCAAUAUGCACUGCAAUAACACCUCCAGAAUGGGCAUGUUAACAUGCCAAUACCACUGGAUAAUGCCAUUACAGUACACAUAUACACAAUAGCAGACUACAAAGCUUUAAAACCAUUGGAUCCCAACUUAAGUUCACCAUCUGAGGCUUCAGUAAUGAUAAGUUAUAGAGCUAUGAACCAAUUGAAUUCAUAUCCUGUAGUGAAUACAUAACUAGUAGACAAUGCAUAGGGCAUACAAUGACCUAAAGCUAGACAUGAAGACAUGUUGUGCCCUUAUAUGAUGAGAAAUCCAUUGUCUGCUUGCACAAAUACUUCCAUAUACCUUUAGAACACCACCAGAAUGAGCAUGAUAAUAUACUAAUACCAGUGGAAAGCAUCCUAACAGCAUACAGAAUGCCACUAUAACAAAACAACAAGCAAGAAAAGGCAUUAAGACAAAUAACAUACUCAUCAAUCAGGAGCUCUUCUUUUAGCAAUCCUAACCCUAAGAUUAGGAGUUUGUGACUUAUCAAGAUUUAUUAGUCUCCUCCCUGUACUUGGAAGUUCAGAGAAAGAGUGAAACUGGAUUAUACCUGCAAAAGAAAACACAAGGUUAGAUAAAAAGUCUGCUACAAUAUUUCCCUCCCUUAGUACAUGUUGUAAUAGCACAUUAAAGUGCUCCUUCAUCUAUUGUAUCCUCUUCACUUCAGCUAUAAAACACCAUGGUGGAUCCCAUUUUCCUUCAAUCCCAAUGAAUUGGUUUCCAAUAUGAGAGGGUGCAGCUCAUGAGCUACACAAUAUGCUAAGCCUUCUUCAAUUACCUUAGCCUCAACAACAAUAUUUGUUGUGUCCUCCAGUUGCUUUGCUCGUGCAUAUGCCAAAUCACCUUCACUAUCCCUCACAUAGAAGCCUAUAGAACUAGGUCCUAGAUUACCUCUUGAAACUCUAUCAAUAUUGCACUAUACCAUCCUUUAUAAGGCAGCUGCCAAUUCACCCUUCUAGUCACCAACUCUAGCUUGUAUCCUUCAAAGAACUUGAUCAUGUCUGGCAAAAGAUAGGGAAUACCAGGAAGCCAAUUAUACCUUGUCUUUGCUAAGAAGUGUAAGGUCUUGUUGAUCUCAUUAAUCACUCUAGUAACAGAUACUGAGCCACCAUUUCUAUUUGUAUUUCUCAUCUUCCAAAGCUCUCAAGUGACAAUAGCUGGCACAACUUGAUAUAAUGGCUUAAGUUUUGGGCAGCAUGCAGCAUUCCACCACUCUCUAAUAACUUGAUGCACCUAUACUAGCUGAAAAUUAAGCCUUGCAGCAUUCAUAAAUGUCCUCUAAACUCUAGUAACAGUAUGGCCUAACAGGAACAAAUGAUCAAAUGAUUCCUCUUGUGGAGCUUGGCAACACCAACACCUAGACAUAUAUAUCAUUAGUAUCCAAUUUGUAUAUCCAUAGCCUACAAAGAAAGAAAGAGAUCUUGAAAGGUAGAACUUUAAUCCAUAUAUGCUUGAAUUCCUGAUUAAUGUUUGCCCUAUGUCUCACUAGUUUCCAUGCACUACUGACUAUGAACUUUCCUGAGGUUGUAGGUCU